rnacentral:rRNA from 1 species
AGAGUUUGAUCAUGGCUCAGAAUCAACGCUGGCGGCGCGCUUAACACAUGCAAGUCGCACGAGAAAGGGGAGCAAUCCCUGAGUAAAGUGGCGUACGGGUGAGUAACACGUGGAUCAUCUACCUUUUAGUGGGGAAUACCCCCGGGAAACUGGGGACAAUACCGCAUAAGCUCGUGAGAGGAAAGCAGCAAUGCGCUGAAAGAGGAGUCCGCGGCUGAUUAGCUAGUUGGUGAGGUAACGGCCCACCAAGGCGAAGAUCGGUAGCCGGCCUGAGAGGGCACACGGCCACACUGGCACUGAAAUACGGGCCAGACUCCUACGGGAGGCAGCAGUGGGGAAUCUUGCACAAUGGAGGAAACUCUGAUGCAGCGACGCCGCGUGAACGAUGAAGCCCUUCGGGGUGUAAAGUUCUUUCGACGGGAACGAUAAUGACGGUACCCGAAGAAGAAGCUGCGGCUAACUACGUGCCAGCAGCCGCGGUAAUACGUAGGCAGCAAGCGUUGUUCGGAAUUACUGGGCGUAAAAGAGUGCGUAGGCGGUGCUCUAAGUCUGUUGUGAAAUCUCCCGGCUUAACUGGGAGGGUGCGGCGGAAACUGGAGUGCUUGAGGGUGGGAGAGGUAAGCGGAAUUCCUGGUGUAGCGGUGAAAUGCGUAGAUAUCAGGAGGAACACCUGUGGUGUAGACAGCUUACUGGACCACUUCUGACGCUGAGGCACGAAAGCGUGGGUAGCAAACAGGAUUAGAUACCCUAGUAGUCC